CCUACGGGGGACAGCAGUGAGGAAUAUUGGACAAUGGGCGCGAGCCUGAACCAGCCAAGUAGCGUGAAGGAUGAAUGCCCUAGGGGUUGUAAACUUCUUUUAUAAAGGAAUAAAGUGAGGCACGUGUGCCACUUUGUAUGUACUUUAUGAAUAAGGAUCGGCUAAACCCGCGCCAGCAGCCGCGGUAAUACGGUGGAUCCGAGCGUUAUCCGGAUUUAUUGGGUUUAACGGGAGCGUAGAUGGGUUUUUAAGUCAGUUGUGAAAGUUUGCGGCUCAACCGUAAAAUUGCAAUGGAUACUGGCAGUCUAGAGUACAGUAGAGGUAGGCGGAAUUCGUGGUGUAGCGGUGAAAUGCGUAGAUAUCACGAAGAACUCCGAUGGCGAAGGCAGCUUACUAAGCUGCCACUGACAUUGAUGCUCGAAAGUGUGGGUAGCAAACAGGAUUAGAUACCCCGGUAGUC
rnacentral:rRNA from 1 species